rnacentral:ncRNA from 1 species
CCGCCGGGACGACUCGGCGGCUGUGUGCUGAGUGGGGACGGCCCC